rnacentral:rRNA from 1 species
AACGGGGAUUACACGGUGAUGCGAUUUCGGUCAAAUCAAGUGCAAUCUUAGUGGCGGACGGGUGAGUAACGCGUGGGUAACCUGCCUUGCACUGGGGGAUAACACUUAGAAAUAGGUGCUAAUACCGCAUAAGCGCACGGUCCUGCAUGGGACAGUGUGAAAAACUCCGGUGGUGCAAGAUGGACCCGCGUCUGAUUAGCUGGUUGGCGGGGUAAAGGCCCACCAAGGCGACGAUCAGUAGCCGGCCUGAGAGGGUGGACGGCCACAUUGGGACUGAGACACGGCCCAAACUCCUACGGGAGGCAGCAGUGGGGGAUAUUGGACAAUGGGGGGAACCCUGAUCCAGCGACGCCGCGUGAGUGAAGAAGUAUUUCGGUAUGUAAAGCUCUGUCAGCAGGGAAGAAAGCAAUGACGGUACCUGACCAAGAAGCCCCGGCUAACUACGUGCCAACAGCCGCGGUAAUACGUAGGGGGCAAGCGUUAUCCGGAAUUACU